UUACUAGCUAAGGCCAAGUAGAAAUGUCAAUACAACAACUUAAGGAGAAAGCAAGCUGAUUUUUAAAGAUAGAUGCUGAUGUUUUAUGGAAUUUGUUUAGGUGGUUGAGUUCUGGAUCGUGGGGAUAGGGAGGGAGGAGACACGGUUGAGGUUAAUACUCCAGAUUGACCUCAUCUUGCUAAUUGGAGUCCUAUUCAUAGUAAUCUUAAUUAAAUACUGUAUGAGACAAAUUGAAUGGAGUUGAACUCACUCAUCAGUUAGAUUAAUCAAAGUAGCUGAAGUAGUGAUGAACUCAUGGGGGAAAUUAAGUAGACAUCAAGAUGGUACAGAAAUGAAGGAAGAGUAGAUCUUGUUGACAGGCAAUUCUCUAUGGGUCUCUUGCAUUUCUACUUAUCUUGUAAGCAAUGAUACUAACACCUUUGUUUUGAACCACCUUUUCAAGGCUCUUCCUAUAUUAACAAUGUCUCCUUCCAGGACAAAGGUCAGGCAGGUUUGUUUAGAGACCACUAUGAAAAAUUUGAGCUUCCAAAGCUCAGAGUUUCUUUCCUGUGAUGCAACCGCCACAUAUGCAGGAAUCACCUGACGCUUUUCAUAUCACCCUGUGGUAAUUGAGACUUAAGAACUGGUCAAGAAAAUCAUGACACUCUGGCUAUACUGUCGUUGCUGUGAGUAUCACGCCAUCCAUUGUAUUAGACCCAAGAGUCUCAUAUCUUUCACAGUAUCUGUAAAACUGUAAUAGGAUAACAUCUUGAUUUGUAAGUAGGGAAAUAUUUGAGACCCUCAGCAGUUCUUAACAGUUUAUAAAAUUUCAUACCAUUCAUAGUUUCUGAUAAAAAUGUUUUUAAGGAACGCUUGUUUGAAGGCUUUGGAAUGCUACUAAGAUUGUGAAAAAUUUCAGGCCCAAGAUCUAAGAAAGAAAGGAGUGUUCUUCAUAGGAAAUAAUCUGGAGUCCAUUCUCUCUAUCCUGCUUUGUCCUUCCUGAAGUAAGUUCCAGUUUGUCAAUAUCUUAUGCAGAAUGUGGCAUUCAGAAAUAAGGACAAUUCUUCUAGUGAAAUAACUGAUGCUUAUUCUGUCUACAUCUUGUUAUUGCACGGCAAGAACAAGCAGUUGGACCUCAUUCAUCAGGGACCACCACCACUGUGUUCGACACCUUGGGCUAGGGAAGAAUGCUGAAUGUGUUCAUGAUUUGUCUGGGUACUCCUCCCAG
rnacentral:lncRNA from 10 species